ensembl:lncRNA
CAACGCGAUGCCACCAUGGUAACAACACGAAGGCUUGAGUUUUUAUACGCACUUCAGUCGCGUGUUUAUUAGAGCAACAGCUGGGCUAAGGCGGACGCCAGCUGAGCUAACGGAUGGUAACCCCGACAACGAUAACUAUAACGACUCCGCCCGUCCAGGACAGUCAUCAGAUCCAGUUACCAUGGAGAGCAGUUCAUCUCCACCGGCAACACACACGGAUAGUGAAAACUCGGGGCAAAGCCUUUGGGGCGACCAGGAAGCGGAGGAGCACCAUUACACAGAGGUCCAUGGGCUGAAGCAGCCAAUCGGGGACGAGCAGGACGAAGAAGAGGCUGCAGGGAAAGAAAAUGUCGUCAGGGAUGCAGAUGAGUGUGAUUACCUUGUGUUUGCAAUCGGAGAGCGAAAUGGGAAUGAUAAAGGAGAUGAAAGUGGACAGGACACGGGUAGAGGAGGAGAUAAGGUAGAAGAUGGAGAAAGAGGGGAAACAGAAGGAAAGGAAGAAGGAAGUGGAGCUACAGUGAGGGAAGAUGGAGGAAGAGGAGGUGAAAAAGAAGAGGAUGAAUGCAUAGGAGAGACAGUGGGCGAGAUGAGUAAUGAUGCUCCGUCAAAGCUCCUCCUCAUCUCUUGCAGCCCGGAGCGUCUUUCAUCAUCAGAGCCCCUGAUGGUCCCCUCAUGUCCCUCAGAGCAGCCCAUGGAGGCCAUGUUGCAAGAGGCCUUAGGUCACAACAUUGGCGAAAGAGAUGACCUCAGUGACGUCCAGCACACAGGCUUCCCCCAAGCUGAGGUGGCUAGUGUGUACUCGGACAGCGACGCAGGGGACGGCCAGUGGGCUAGCUUUGCACGCUGUGAUGUCACCAACCAGGAAGAAGCAGGCGGAGGAAUUCACAAUACCACCUGUGAAGGAGAGAGCAAGGAAGAGGAGGGAGGAGGAGCCGAUAAGGGGAGAGCCGAAGAACAGUUUGAGGCAGAAGAAGCGAGUGAAACACAGGACCAAAGGGAGGAGGAGGAGGAGGAGGAGGAGGGGAGCAGACACGUGGAUGAUGAAGAGCAGAUGACGUCCAGGAGAGAUCUAUUUCCACGCACACCUUCUGUCAGCUCCACGGGCAGCUCCACAGAGCCUGACAGAAAGGCUCCCGUGGAUCUCUGUGUCCAAGAAGAGGCCCACAGUGGAAACGUCUCCACUGAGCAUGUGGACUUUCUGUUGGCCCGACAGCAGUGGAGGAAGAUGGAGGAGGAGGUCAAAGGUCAGCCAAUCCCCAAACCAGGCCUCAGAGCUCAGGGGAGCUUCCAGGGCACCCACAGCUCCCUGUACCCGCCCACUCGCAGCCCCCGACUCAAACACAGGGAGAUCCAUCCUGCAGCGGCCAUGGAGCCCACGCUGUCCUCCACCCUGUCCUCCACCCUGUCCCCCGGCUCGGAGGACUCGGGCCUGGAGGAGCCGGAGAGUGCAGUGGAGAGAGAGAUCCGCCGGACUCUGGAGAGGGAGGAAUGCCACCGGAGAGAGAGGGGGGGGGUCACACAGGGCCUCACCGUACCCAGAGCCUCCACCGGGCAGAGCGGACGAUCUCCCCCCAGACCUCCAGCGUGCCGCACCCCUACACUGUCCAUCUCCCCUUCUCCUUCCUCUUCUCUUCCCCGAUCUGUCUACCAUGAGAUGACGGCCAAUAAUGUCAUUAUCCUGGAGCCCGGCUGCUCCGGCUCCACCUCCAGAAACCUCUUACUCUCCUCCGCCACCGAUUGGCCGCUUAGCCAGGAUGCUGUGCCCUCCGCCAACGUCAUCGUCGUUGAGACCUCUAACGUGAUCAUUCGCAGCGCAUCCGAAUUCUGUCUAAGCUCCGCCCCCGUGUCCGCGGAGACCCAGGAGAGCACCUUCUCGUCCAAUCCGUUCUUUAAGCUACGCUCCAUCAGCAGCCAAUCGCUGGUGGAGCGGGAGAUCCGCAUGGUGAGGCAGAGGGAGGAGGAAUGGAGGAGGCAGCGGGAGGAGAUGUGGAGGAGGAGGAGGGAGGAGGAGUGGAGGAGAGGGAGAGAGAGGUACGACACCGUGCUGGUGUCUCCUGGCCUGAGCGAUAACAUCAGCUACAACGUGCCAGAGGUCCUAGAUAGAUGUGUGUCCUCUCCUUCGUCCCCCUCCAGGACCCGCAAAAUGGAAAGAUCCAGCAUGUCUUGUGACCACAAGUUCCCCUCAUCCCUCUCUCUGACGCCGAAGCGACCGAACGCCAUGGCGCAGCGAUGGGAGGCCUCCCUAUUAGCCAAUCAGAAGAAGGAGUGACCAUUUCAAAGCCCACAAUGAGAUCCGACGCCUCCGUUCCUUCCUGCUUCUCUCCAGAAAAGUCACACGGUGUACUGUAAGGUCUUUGAAAAGGUGUGGCUUGAACCCGUGGGUCACAGAUGUGCUGUCUGCGGGACGUCCUGUGAGAAGAGGACUGGUCCUGUCCAACAGCUUUGUUUCAAAGAGUAAGGUUUGGCUUUCCUUAAUGCUUGAACGUCUGAAAAGGUCCUGCUUUCAAACUCAAACUGGUCUGCUGCAUGAUCUGUGAAACAUUGGGGCACAAUGCCACACGUAGGACAUUGUUUAUUAUAGAUAAUAACUUCAUUGACUCAUUCACAAUACUAACCGCAGUCAUAGUACCACCACUGUUUUUGACAUGUCAUGCAGACUUCUAUGUAAACUUUAGAAACACAAUAUUUAUUAUUACCAGUAACACAAUUUGAUUUCGAGCUAUUUAUAAAUGAUGGCAAACAGAUAUGCAUUGAGUUGUAUGACUAUGAAAAAGGUCUUGGCAGUUGCAUUUUAAUUUUAGAUAAAGUAUGAAUUUAGUCCCUAUAUUUUUGAUGUGAUGAACAUAUACAGCGUAUAUUUUACCGUAUUGUAGCUGCGUAGGGGUUUGAGAAGUGACAUUCAAAAAUGAUUUAGCAUGUUCUUUACAAAUGACAAUUCAUAGCAUUUAAGUGCCAACUCAGACUGAAAAAAUCACUGCCUUAAGCCGCUGAGAACAGCACACACACACACACACACACACACACACACACAGAAAGACAAAAAAUGAAUCCAUCAUCCAUUUCGCACAUCAUCUCUUUUCCACAAAGGCAAAACACGUAUUCAAGUAUAAAAAAACUGUCCUAUUUUAUGGAAAAUCAUUUUUUAUGGAAAUGUAAGAAUGGAAACUGGCACAUUCUUUCCCCUUGUUAUGACCCGCCCUACUCCGCCUCUGAUUGGCUGCUCAUCGUGGCCUUUGGUUUGGUUGUGAGAUGAUGAAAAACGGUAGAGCCACAGGGACGGAGCCGGUGGCUCAAUUAGCUUACAGCUAACGGAGGUAUAGUUACUUUGUUACUUUAGCGGUAUUUCAAAAUUAUAUAAUUAACUCGAGUAUUCACAUGGCUUUAAAAAAAGCUGUCAAUUCCACAUUUGUAGCCCAAAGGUUUUAUGCGUGGAGCACACUGUUGUUAUUGCUAUAUAACUGUCCGUGGCUGUGAUGUUCAAGCAAUAUAACUGAAGCACUUCUAAAACAGAGAUUCUAAUCCAGUCUAGUGAAGACUUUUACAUAUUUUAUGUCAUGUUUUGAUUCCUAAAAAGAGAAUUGUUUUAUUGAAUUUGUGCUGCAUAUAUUUAUUGAAUCGGGACAAGCUUAUGAAUCCUUAAAGCUUUUAUUUCUAAAAGGUUCAUAAUAUAUUGUGUCAGAAUGGCUGCAUGAAUUGAAGGUCUGCGAUGUUUUUUAGAUGGAUCUUUUCUGUGGAGUGUGUGUGCGUGAUAAUAAUAAUAAUCCAUCCUCAAUACAUCGUACAUAAAUAGAAAUCCUUCCUCCUUAUUUUGUAGCUCCAGAAGGAGCUCACUGGGUUCCUGAUGAACUCAACUGUCUAUUACAGGUGCAUUCAAGUCAACUCAGAAAUAAGAGACUUCACCUGCCAGGUUGCGAAUAAUACCAGGCGAGUAGAAUGCUAGUGGGUUUUUAUGAAUAUAUUCUGAUUGUGCUCUGAGCAUCGAUGUGAUGUAACACUGUGUUAAGGAAUAAACUCUCCAUCCGCUAAUAAAGUGCAUUUCAGCUGUGAGUUCCUGUGCAGCCUGAAGAUGUGUCCAAACAUCUGACGGGGCUACGAUCUAUACUUUCUGCAAUCAAUUUGCAGAGGUUUGGAUGUUCUUGAAAUGUGCUGUAUUGCAUGUGAAAGAAGUCGGUUACAGUGCGUCCACUCUUCACACUGGCUGUUUCUGCCCCAUCUCACCACACCACACCCAGUGGCAAUGUGAGGAAACGGAAAAACUAUAUACUAUAAUAUUGUGUUGGCAGCAGAAGGACAUGAGCAUCAGUAAAUAUUGGCUUUGUGUGUUUUCUUGCACACUCGAGUCACGUCAGAUGGGGUUGGUACGUUGUUACAUUGUUACAUCGUUUCGCUAUUAUUUUCACACAAUCCUUGAACUUGUUAUUCAAGGCCCAUAUUUAACAUCAUUUUGACGUACCAUGCCAGCGUUGUUUGCAUGUCAUGGUGUUGCUGCGUUAGCUUUGCUGUAUGAAGGCACAGUAGAUAUAUAUAUAUAUAUAUAUAUAUAUAUAUAUAUAUACCUGGUCUGCAUCCAGUUUAGUGGGACAGCUGAACUGAUACUUUAUAACUGUAGUUUUAAGAAGGAUGUGCAUUUGUGAAUACACUGUGUGACAGAAUAUUCCGUACGGCUCCUAGAAACAGCUUUUCCUCACGAGCCGAGCAUCAUUUAUUCAGGUUCUGUUCUUUUCUUAGUUUAUUUGCCUUGCGCUUCAUUCAUUUAUUGUUGCCAAAUGAAAGGUCUUGUGAUGACAUCUUCAAUAAAACGUAACUUCUGAAACCCGCAA